UAGGGAAUCUUCCGCAAUGGACGCAAGUCUGACGGAGCAACGCCGCGUGAGUGAAGAAGGAUUUCGGUUCGUAAAACUCUUUUGUUAGAGAAGAACAGCGCAUAGAGUAACUGUUAUGCGUGUGACGGUAUCUAACCAGAAAGCCACGGCUAACUACGUGCCAGCAGCCGCGGUAAUACGUAGGUGGCAAGCGUUGUCCGGAUUUAUUGGGCGUAAAGCGAGCGCAGGCGGUCAAUUAAGUCUGAUGUGAGAGCCCCCGGCUCAACCGGGGGGGGUCAUUGGAAACUGGUUGACUUGAGUGCAGAAGAGGGGAGUGGAAUUCCAUGUGUAGGGGUGAAAUGCGUAGGUAUAUGGAGGAAAACCAGUGGCGAAGGCGACUCUCUGGUCUGUAACUGACGCUGAGGCUCGAAAGCGUGGGUAACAAACAGG
rnacentral:rRNA from 1 species